UACGUAGGGUGCGAGCGUUGUCCGGAAUUAUUGGGCGUAAAGAGCUUGUAGGCGGUCUGUCGCGUCUGCUGUGAAAAUCCGGGGCUCAACCCCGGACUUGCAGUGGGUACGGGCAGACUAGAGUGUGGUAGGGGAGACUGGAAUUCCUGGUGUAGCGGUGAAAUGCGCAGAUAUCGAGAGGAACACCAGUGGCGAAGGCGAGUCUCUGGACAUUUCCUGACGCUGAGGCACGAAAGCCAGGGGAGCAAACGGG
rnacentral:rRNA from 1 species